rnacentral:rRNA from 1 species
CCUACGGGAGGCAGCAGUGAGGAAUAUUGGUCAAUGGGCGCGAGCCUGAACCAGCCAAGUAGCGUGAAGGAUGACUGCCCUACGGGUUGUAAACUUCUUUUAUAAAGGAAUAAAGUGAGGCACGUGUGCCUUUUCGUACGUACUUUAUGAAUAAGGAUCGGCUAACUCCGUGCCCGCAGCCGCGGUACUACGGGGGAUCCGAGCUUGAUCCGGCUUUAUUGGGUUUAAAGGGCGGUGAGAUGGGUUGUUAAGUCAGUGGUGAAAGUUUGCGGCUGAACCGUAACAUUGCAUUUGAUACUGGCAGCCUUGAGGUCAGUUGAGGGAGGCGGAAUUCGUGGUGGAGCGGUGAAAUGCAGAGAUAUCACGAAGAAACCCGAUUGCGAAGGCAGCCUACUAGACUGCCACUGACAUUGAUGCUCGAAAGUGUGGGUAUCAAACAGGAUUAGAUACCCUAGUAGUC